AUUUAAGGAAUGACUGUAAUAUUUUUUCUGUCUAUGAAGAAAUAACAUAAAAAAAUGUGGUGCACACUGAAUAACGCGCGUAGCGGGUUAUUUAACAGUGUGCACCACAUUUUUUAUGUUAUUUCGAAUAGACAGAAAAAAUAAUACAGUCAUUUCUUAUAAUGUAAUUCUAAAUUCCAUUUUAAACCGUAGAAAACCAUGAAAAAACGUUGAUGACGUCACGGUCACAUGACUAAAUUAUGUCUAUGUGC
rnacentral:lncRNA from 1 species